UACGAAGGGGGGCUAGCGUUGCUCGGAAUCACUGGGCGUAAAGCGCACGUAGGCGGCUUUCUAAGUCAGGGGUGAAAUCCUGGAGCUCAACUCCAGAACUGCCUUUGAUACUGGAGAGCUCGAGUCCGGAAGAGGUGAGUGGAACUGCGAGUGUAGAGGUGAAAUUCGUAGAUAUUCGCAAGAACACCAGUGGCGAAGGCGGACUCACUGGUCCGGUACUGACGCUGAGGUGCGAAAGCGUGGGGAGCAAACAGG
rnacentral:rRNA from 1 species